AGCUGCCAUCCAUCACCUCGUUUUGGGGGGUAGUUGUAGGAUGAGGCCCCUGCCCCGAAAGUUGUGUUACUGUGCUGAGUUCCUGGCUCCCAGCCACUCAGGGAGCACCUGGCCCUUGUUGUGCACUGAUGUAUUUAAUCUGGAAGUAAGGUGUUUUCCACCCUUUCUCCCCCACGUCUGCUACUUUUUAUGAAGUCAAAUAUCCUGCUGUUUUCAUUCCUGGUCUGGCACUCAGCUACCUGUGCUUCUCAGACAACAUUUUUGCCUCCGGACAAAACCUUGCUGCUCUAGCUCCGCAAAGAGAUCCAGGGCAUUUCAAUUGCACAGAUCUGAGAUGGCUCCUGAUAUUAUACUACAAAAGCAGCAACAGCUUCUUCCUUGCAGGGGACGAAGGGGCUGUUUUAAGGAUAGAGCGUGAAAGUUGCACUUUCCCUAGAUGCCAUUUUGCAGUGAGGAACAGUGUGACCUGAACUCGGAGCACUAGUGCUGUUACUUCAGAACAUGAGGUCCAGGCGUGCUUUCAUUAAUAAAGAGAAAACGAAGUACUCAGUCUAUGCCUAUUAAAUGCUCACCGUUCAUUCUGUGUACCCAGUAAGACAAGGAUCUUCUAAGGAAAAAAUAAAAUAUGAUA